rnacentral:lncRNA from 1 species
GGAAGUGUUAGUCCCUUGUGUUGUAAGAAGGAACUUGUGUUUCCUUGGUUGAAGUCUUGGAGUGUUGUAUCUCCGAGCAAAGGUUGUUGAGGUUUGUGUCCUCAAGUUGUAACGGUUUGUUGAGCACCCGUAAGCUUAACAAGUUAGUGGAAAUCUUGAUAGAGUCUCUCGGGGACUGGACUAGCCACGGGUUGUGGUGAACCAGGAUACAUCGGUGCGUUUGUUCUAAUUUAUUUAC